rnacentral:rRNA from 1 species
CGCUUUUCGAAGCGCAGGGGAAAGAUGGGGAUCCGUAAGGACCUAUCACCCUUGGAUGGGCCCGCGGCCUAUCAGCUAGUUGGUGAGGUAAUGGCUCACCAAGGCUAAGACGGGUAGCUGGUCUGAGAGGAUGGUCAGCCACACUGGAACUGAGACACUGUCCAGACACCUACGGGUGGCUGCAGUCGAGAAUCUUUCGCAAUGGGGGAAACCCUGACGACGCGACGCCGCGUGGAGGAUGAAGGCCUUCGGGUUGUAAACUCCUGUCAGCAGGGGAGAACAAGCUUUUGGUGAAUAACUGAGAGCUUUGACAGUACCUGCAGAGGGAGCCACGGCUAACUCUGUGCCAGCAGCCGCGGUAAUACAGAGGUGGCAAGCGUUGUUCGGAUUUAUUGGGCGUAAAGGGUCCGUAGGCGGCCUGAAAAAGUCGGAUGUGAAAUCCCCACAGCUUAACUGUGGGACUGCAUUCGAAACUUUCGGCUCGAGUGUGAUAGGGGUUA